rnacentral:misc_RNA from 1 species
GAUGAAGAACGCAGCGAAAUGCGACAAGUAAUGUGAAUUGCAGAAUUCCGUGAAUCAUCGAAUCUUUGAACGCACAUUGCGCCCUCUGGUAUUCCGGGGGGCAUGCCUGUCCGAGCGUCAUUGCUGCCCUCAAGCACGGCUUGUGUGUUGGGCCUCCGUCCUCCUCCCGGGGGACGGGCCCGAAAGGCAGCGGCGGCACCGCGUCCGGUCCUCGAGCGUAUGGGGCUUCGUCACCCGCUCUUGUAGGCCCGGCCGGCGCUUGCCGACACAUCAAUCUUUUUUCCAGGUUGACCUCGGAUCAGGUAGGGAUACCCGCUGAACUUAAGCAUAUCAAUAAGCGGAGGA